GUGAGUUCAUAUGGGUUGAUGUUGCUGUUUAGUGCUGCUUUAUCCUUGUUAAUGGCUGAUUUCAUGCCUUGUUUUGAUUGAGCAAUGAUGAUGAUGGCCUUAUUCUGAGCUGUUUUAUUAGUGCUGAUUUGAUUUUAGUGAGUUCAUAUGGGUUGAUUUUGCUGUUUGUUUAAAUUCAGAAACGUCCUAUUUACUGCCAUAAUGUUGCCGAAAUUUCUAAAAAUUUGUGUGUUAAUUGAAUUUCAAUUUGUGAAUUGAAUUUGGUAAUUUGUUGCUUUAGUUUAAUUUCUAAAAGUUACACGAGCAUUCAAUAUGUUUGAAUUGGGAAUAAGACUAAAAAAUGAUGAAUUUUAUGUUUUGUUAACUCUUGAGAUAUGUUUAAAUUGGCAGAUAUCAAGUGAAGAAGCUAUAGAAACUGCAAAGCAACUAAUGCUUAAAGAAGGCCUGUUUGUAAGUUCCCUAAUAAGAUGCAGAAGACGAGCGAGAAACUUUUUUGGUUGAUGAAGAUGAUGAAGACAAUGACGGGAAUGGGAAUGCCAUUGGUGAGUGGGGAUAUCUGUGCAAUUUAAACAGUUUUGGAAGUGGAGAGCAUCGCCACAAGGGUAGGACAAGUGAGGAGCAGAAGAACAAGGAUAGGACAAGUGAGGAGCAUCGACGGCUGCAGAUUCUCGAACCGAAAUCAAGGGUUGAUAUCGGUUCUUUUCCCUAGGUCUCCACGUAGGGUUGAUAUCAAUUCAAUUUCAGUUUCCAGCAAAGGUUAAAAAUAUCUCUGCUUAGGGUUUUAGCACUUUACAAAGGUACUCUCCCAGGCUCCAAUUCUCUUCUUUUUCUUCUUCACUGUGCUGCUCUUGUUUAUAUUUUUUUAAUCUCCACCUUGUUCUUUCUUCAUCUUUCGAUUCAAUUUAUUGUUGUUUAUAUUUUUUAAUCUCCGCACUUGACAAGUUGAGAAUUAUCUUGCUAUGCUACCUAUGAUAUUGAUAUAUCUCUUUUCGUUUUGGUUUUCAAUCUGCUGGUUUUAUUUCAUUGGUUAUUGCAAGGGUUUGAUCAAGGAGCUUGAAAUUUGAUUGAUAAAUAGCUCUCUGAAACUAAUAGUUAGGUAAUGAAGCGUUAAAAAUGGCUGGCUUUUGAAUUUAUGUUAUUGAUUAGGACAAGAACAAUGAAAUGAUUUUAUAUAGUUUGAGUGUAACAAGCUGAAGUAAAUAAUUUUUCUUUCUGCACUUCUUUGUUUUUCGUCUCAUAUGUGUCGACAAUCUGGUUUUUUGUUGUUGAAAUACCAUAUAUAGAACAUAAUAAUAAUAAUCAAGGUUUACGGUUUACUUCAGGUUCCAACGAUGGCUUUCUUUGGUUGAAUUGGGAAUUUACUCAGAAAUGCUGCAAACAAGCAGAUCAGUUCAGAAUUGCUCCCAUCCCCAUCUAUUCUCCAGGAAAUACGGUGCAUGUCAUCUGCUCCAAACUCAAAACUGUUCAUUGGAGGUAUUUCAUAUUCUACUGAUGAGUAAGGUUUGAGGGAGGCAUUUCAAGAUAUGGAGAAGUUGUUGAUGGUACAUACAAUUACUCAUUUUUUCCUAUGCAGACUCGAUCCAUGGCAGGGAAACCCUUUUGUUUGAGGAGACUCAGAAAAAGCAGCAUUGUUCUUAUUCUGAAGAGUUUGCAACCCCCGAGAGAGCUUGAAUGAACAAGACUCGGAAUUUAGGAAGAAAUGCUGAUUCUGGUUCAAACUUGAGGCCUCAGAAUUUAUAGGAAGCAGCAUUGUUCCAAAAAUAUGAUGAAGAGAUGUCCCUCUUAGACAGAAUUAGUGCACAGAAACUUGAGGAAACAGGUAACAAUACAUCAUCCAUAAUUAUUAAAUUUAGAGUUUAAUUCAUUAACAUAGUUGCCUAAUCCAUCUUCAGAGUAUUUAAGAUCCAUGGAAGCCUCUCCAAGAUCAAUUUCAGAGCGUAUUUGCAUCAAGUGUGAAGAAGAAAGCAUGUGAUAUAGGUCACAAUAACCCAUAUGGUGAACUAGAGGCCGCUUAUGUUGCUGGAAUUAUUGGGUGAUUGUGUUGUGGAUGUUGGAGCUAUGUUGCAAUAGCUACUAUUAUUAUUCUCCAUCUGGUUGAAGCUGCUGCAGGUUCCAUCACUGACUACUGGAGAGGAUGCUACUAAUGUUGGCAACAAUUGAUGAAGAGUGAGGGUCUCUUGGCCGGAAUUAGUCUAUCACAUUAUAAUAAAGCUUCCAGUUUAGUGUUUCAAUAAACACUCUCACAUUCUUUUGUUAUUAUAUUUUUUGCAAACUUAGAUGAUAUUGUGGAUCUUACAACAAUUUUUAUAAAUUUGAUGGGAAAUGUUCAAUUUUUUU